rnacentral:lncRNA from 13 species
AAAGCUGGGUUAGGGUUAGGACCUUUCAAAGCUGGGUUAGGGUUAGGACUGUUCAGAGCUGGGUUAGGGUUAGGACUGUUCAGAGCAGGGUUAGGGUUAGGACCGUUCAGAGCUGGGUUAAGGUUAGGACUGUUCAGAGCUCGGUUAGGACUGUUCAGAGCUGGGUUAGGGUUAGGACUGUUCAGAGCUGGGUUAGGGUUAGGACUGUUCAGAGCUGGGUUAGGACUGUUCAGAGCUGGGUUAGGGUUGGGACUGUUCAGAGCUGGGUUAGGACUGUUCAGAGCUGGGUUAGGACUGUUCAGAGCUGGGUUAGGGUUAGGACUGUUCAGAGCUGGGUUAGGGUUAGGACUGUUCAGAGCUGGGUUAGGACUGUUCAGAGCUGGGUUAGGACUGUUCAGAGCUGGGUUAGGGUUGGGACUGUUCAGAGCUGGGUUAGGACUGUUCAGAGCUGGGUUAGGACUGUUCAGAGCUGGGUUAGGGUUAGGACUGUUCAGAGCUGGGUUAGGGUUAGGACUGUUCAGAGCUGGGUCAGGGUUAGUAGAAUAUGUACCAAACCUGCCAGGUCAGUGUUACUUUUUGCGGCGUUCAAAACAACUGGGAAUUCGAUAAAAAACGAGCUCUGACUGGGGAGAAAUCGAUUUGAACGGUCAUCCAACUCGGGAACUCGGGCCUCUUUCUAGAGCUCACUGACGUCAUGAUUUGACCUUAUAUUUUUACAAAUUCCCAGUAGUUUUGAACGCGGCAUUAGUCCUAUCUCUAAGGACUGGUUUACUGUUCGAGAUCUCUCACUUUCCAGCGAUGUCAUUUAAACCUGUCUCACGCUCCAGUGAUGUCAUUUAAACCUGUCUCACGCUCCAGUGAUGUCAUUUAAACCUGUC